CCUCCUUCAUGGGACUGACAGACAUGUGGCUGCUGUCCUGACAGUGUGUCUGUGCAGGAUAGUGUUUGGCCUCCCACAAAGCUGUGAAUUGACUGAGAGCUGGACUGCCCUGGAGUCUGUGUGGGAGCGGUGUGUUUCCUGCAGCCGCCGCCGCUGCUGUAUCGGGCUGUGUAUGCUCUCCUUCAUGCUGCCAGUGGUGCAGUCAUCAGCUGCAGUUGACCCCGGGCUUUACUGCUGUUUUGGCUCUCCUUCUUUGGAUGUGCUUGACACCUGCUCGUCGCACCACGGCCUCCUCAGUACACCCUGCUGCCCUAGGGGCCUGAUGGACCACCCAGGCUCCUUGAGAAGUGUGG